ACUAAUUGAGGGACUUCAAUCAGCUUUUAAUGUCACGGCUGAUUUGCUUCCAAAAUCCAUCAUUCGGUUUCCAAAUGAGCCUGAUUUCUUCCCGGGUCCCCCCAUAAAUCCCGCAAUUAAUCCCACAUCCACCGUCCCACCUGACUCUCACCCCCAUCUUGACUGCCUCCGCGAGGCCGCCACAGCUCCAUUGCCGAGCUAACCACGCCCCUCGCUGAUCCGGUUCUCUCCUUCAGCGAUCUUCCAGUCCCACUGCGGCCGUGAGAUUCACCGCGCCGGUGUGGCAUCCCUCUGGUGGUUGUGCCUGCCAUUAUCCAUGGUACAAGCUCAGAACCCCCCUUGCCUUCCUGUUCCUCUCCCGUGUUGGUGUCCUAUGUGCCACCCAUGAUGUUCUCUCCUGCAUGGACAUCCCAAAGACGCUCUUAGGUGGCACAUGUGCUGGUCCUAUUGCUGCGUGUGAUGUGCCUUGCUGCUAAGCGUUGAUCCAGUUUGUAAGUUUUUUAGUCCAAUCCAGUUUGUAAGGCUUUUUUUUAGCCCAAUCCAGUUUGUAAGUAGUGCUACGUGAGAGAUGAUCAGAUGAGACGGGCCUGAUAAUCUUGUUGCUGCUGUUGUACUACAUGUCCAUCGGGAGCAAGGUUAGGAGAAAAGAAGAGAAAAGAAGCGGCGAAAGUGACACAGUCCAGUACAGAUCUCGCAUUGAAUCCUCCCCUAUAAGGGUUUCUCUGCCUACAACCUGAUGCAUUGUAAAGAUGUCGAGUACGCUACCACCAAGAUGUGGUGGUCUUAUUGAUGACGGCGAGCUCGCGUGCAUGUGAGAUAGUCCAGUCAGCGUGCUUGCGACGCUAACUAGACGGGUGGAAAAUAAUGUUGUUGUGAUAGCAAUUUUUAUUUCUUAAUAAUUUUUAAAAAUGAGGACAUAUGUAAUUACCAGUUGCAUAUUUUGCCCAGCCCUUCAUUGUCACCAUGGAAGCAAAUUCUCGAUAUAAUUGAAGCAAUGGUUCAUUGUCGUGGAAGCAUAUCCCAUAACGGAAGCAACAUGUGCUUACAACAGAACAAAAAUUUCAUUAUAUUCCAAGGAGAUAGGAGUUUGCUUCCAUCUGCCUAUUCACAACACAAGCAGACACAAAUUAUUCGACACAAAUGAUGGUAACAAUUUAUAUUAUUAUGGAAGCAAGUUGAGUCGAUGAUAGUAUAUUAUAAUUGAGUCGAAUGUUGAGUUGGAUAAAUUUUUUCUUACAUCGGGCUUGCUUGAUUUGUAUGGAGAUACAGGGUUAAUGCUCUGCCGAAUAUGCAUGCAAGGCACUGUUUUGGAUUGAUUGGCAUUUUAUGGCAACCUUCAGAUGUUGAUGCAAAAGACAAGUGACAUGUUACUGUUUUCAUAUGAUCUAUUUAAUUAGCUUUUGUCCAAUGUGGUCAUGGCACAAGGCACAAUUUUGCCAAAUGUAUUGCUUGAUACAGGUAGGGAACAUAAACACAUCUACAUGAGCUAUUUCAUUCUUUGCUUUGCUAUUUUAAUGCUUUGCUUUGCUAACUAUUGCUAUGUUAGUAACUUCCAAUAGCAUAUGACAUGAAAUAUUCAUUGCAUUUUAUUUUAUUUUGCACCCUGAUCCACUCACCCAAGAAGGGGCAGUUAUCCAUGAGUAGAAUCUUGGAUUAACUUGUAUCAAUCUUGUUUUUGUAAGGAUCGCAAUGAAGCAAAGUAGAAUCACAAGAGGACACAAAAGUUGUGUUUUAGUAGAACGUGUCAUAGUCUCAUCUUCGAUAGUAAUAUGCAAUGAUUUUUUUGUAAGUUUAAUAUUAGUAGCACGUUCCUUGUAAUUGAUCUACAGUGAUGGCGGCAACACUAAGCUAGAACCCAAUAUUGACUCAUUCAGCAUGGGCAUGCUGCUAGAUAUGCAUGCAUGUCAAUGCUUGUUUUACAUGGAGCUUCGUGAUGUACAUUGACCAUGAUGAUCCUUUCAUUUUUAUUAUCCAACUACUUAUAUUAUUUUAUCAGAACUUAAGGAUUCACUGAAGCUUGUGGCUUUCGAUUUUCUCAUCGAAAACUACAAAGCUUCACUGAAGGGAUGACACGACUUAAGUUCAAGUCA